rnacentral:rRNA from 1 species
ACGUAGGACGCAAGCGUUAUCCGGAAUUACUGGGCGUAAAGGGCGUGUAGGCGGCACGGUAAGUCAACCGUGAAAGCUCCCGGCUAAACUGGGAGAGGUCGGAUGAGACUGCCGAGCUAGAGGGUCGUAGAGGGGUGUGGAAUUCCGGGUGUAGUGGUGAAAUGCGUAGAGAUCCGGAGGAACACCAGUGGCGAAAGCGGCCUCCUGGCCCAUCUCUGACGCUCAGACGCGAAAGCUAGGGGAGCGAACGG